rnacentral:rRNA from 1 species
GACGGGCCCGCACAAGCAGCGGAGCGUGUGGUUUAAUUCGAUGCCACACGAAGAGCCUUACCAGGGUUUGACAUACAAGUAGUAGGGAAAGGAAACUGGACCGACCCUUCGGGGAGCUUGUACAGGUGCUGCAUGGCUGUCGUCAGCUCGUGUCGUGAGAUGUUCGGUUAAGUCCGCUAACGAGCGCAACCCUCGCUGUGUGUUACAAGUGUCACACGGAACUGCCGGUCAUAAACCGGAGGAAGGUGGGAUGACGUCAAGUCAGCAUGGCCUUUAUAUCCUGGGCUACACACACGCUACAAUGGGAAGGGACAAUAGGUUGCGAAGCCGCGAGGCGGAGCCAAUCCAGCAAAACUUCCCUCAGUUCAGAUUGCAGGCUGCAACUCGCCUGCAUGAAGUUGGAGUUGCUAGUAAACGCAGGUCAGCCAUACUGCGUUGAAUACGUUCCCGGGGCUU